rnacentral:rRNA from 1 species
CAGGAAAAGCUCCUAAGCUUCAGCUUACGCAGACCGUACCGUAAACCGACACAGGUGGGUAGGAUGAGAAUUCUCAGGCGCUUGAGAGAACUCGGGUGAAGGAACUAGGCAACAUGGCACCGUAACUUCGGGAGAAGGUGCACCCUUUUUGGUGGCUCGUGCGAGCUAUAGCUGAAGAGGGUCGCAGUAACCAGGCCGCUGCGACUGUUUAUCAAAAACACAGCACUCUGCAAACACGAAAGUGGACGUAUAGGGUGUGACGCCUGCCCGGUGCUGGAAGGUUAAUUGAUGGGGUCAGCCGCAAGGCGAAGCUCUUGAUCGAAGCCCCAGUAAACGGCGGCCGUAACUAUAACGGUCCUAAGGUAGCGAAAUUCCUUGUCGGGUAAGUUCCGACCUGCACGAAUGGCGUAACGACAGCGGCGCUGUCUCCACCCGAGACUCAGUGAAAUUGAAAUCGCUGUGAAGAUGCAGCGUUCCCGUGGCAAGACGGAAAGACCCCGUGAACCUUUACUAUAGCUUUACACUGAACGUUGAGUUCGUCUGUGUAGGAUAGGUGGGAGGCUAUGAAACCAUGGCGCUAGCUGUGGCGGAGCCAUCCUUGAAAUACCACCCUGUCGUGCUUGACGUUCUAACCUGGGCCCAUUAUCUGGGUCGGGGACCGUGUAUGGUGGGUAGUUUGACUGGGGCGGUCUCCUCCUAAAGAGUAACGGAGGAGCUCGAAGGUACGCUCAGCGCGGUCGGACAUCGCGCACUGUGUGCAAAGGCAUAAGCGUGCUUGACUGCAAGAUCGACGGAUCAAGCAGGUAGGAAACUAGGACUUAGUGAUCCGGUGGUUCUGUAUGGAAGGGCCAUCGCUCAACGGAUAAAAGGUACUCCGGGGAUAACAGGCUGAUACCGCCCAAGAGUUCAUAUCGACGGCGGUGUUUGGCACCUCGAUGUCGGCUCAUCACAUCCUGGGGCUGUAGUCGGUCCCAAGGGUAUGGCUGUUCGCCAUUUAAAGUGGUACGCGAGCUGGGUUCAGAACGUCGUGAGACAGUUCGGUCCCUAUCUGCCAUGGGCGUUGGAGAUUUGAGAGGGGCUGCUCCUAGUACGAGAGGACCGGAGUGGACGAACCUCUGGUGUUCCGGUUGUCACGCCAGUGGCAUUGCCGGGUAGCUAUGUUCGGAAGCGAUAACCGCUGAAAGCAUCUAAGCGGGAAGCGCGCCUCAAGAUGAGAUCUCCCGGGGCACAAGCCCCCUGAAGGAACCAUGUAGACUACGUGGUUGAUAGGUCAGGUGUGUAAGUACAGCAAUGUAUUGAGCUAACUGAUACUAAUGAUCCGUGCGGCUUGACCAU